AGAACGAACGCUGGCGGCAUGCCUAACACAUGCAAGUCGAACGCCUGUAGCAAUACAGGAGUGGCGCACGGGUGAGUAACGCGUGGGAACCUACCCUGGAGUGGGGGAUAACCGAGGGAAACUUCGGCUAAUACCCCAUACGACCUGAGGGUGAAAGAUUUAUCGCUCUAGGAGGGGCCCGCGUCGGAUUAGCUAGUUGGUGAGGUAACGGCCCACCAAGGCGAUGAUCCGUAGCUGGUCUGAGAGGAUGAUCAGCCACACUGGGACUGAGACACGGCCCAGACUCCUACGGGAGGCAGCAGUGGGAAUAUUGGACAAUGGGGGCAACCCUGAUCCAGCAAUGCCGCGUGAGUGAUGAAGGCCUUAGGGUUGUAAAGCUCUUUCGGCGGGGACGAUGAUGACGGUACCGCAGAAGAAGCCCGGCUAACUUCGUGCCAGCAGCCGC
rnacentral:rRNA from 1 species